rnacentral:lncRNA from 10 species
UUCCAGCCAAUGGGUGUGAAUGGAAAUGCGCAGCCGACCUCUAGGCCACACCUUUUAUUCGUUUAUAUUUAUUUAUGGAUUCAUUGUUUUAGAGACAGGUUCUCACUCCGUUGUCCCGGCUGGAGGGCAGUAGUGUGAUCACAGAUCACCACAGCCUGGAACGCCUGGGCUCAAGUGACCCUCCCAUCUCAGCCUCCCAAGUUGCUGGGGCUAUGGGCUCGUGCCACUGUGUCGGCUAAUUUUUUUUAUUUUUAGUAGAGAGAGGGUCUCACUAUGUUGUCUGUGCUGGUCUCAAACUCCUGGGCUCAAGCAAUUCUCCUGCCUCGGCCUCCCAAAGUGCUGGGAUCCUGACAGCCGUGAACCACUGUGCUCGGCCUCUGCAUCUUUUAAGAAGAAAAUGGCUUGUCUCCCAAGACCUGAUUUCCUCCUUCCUCCAGCUGGAACUCAGAUGUGGAACAGAGGAAGUGGCUUCAACAGUGCAGAAUCCUAUCCAGGAUCCUACGCUGCAUUUAGUCAUCCCGGCUCCUGAGGCUCCUCCGAUCUGUGACAACUUCUGGGUCUGUCCUUGUUUUUCAUGACCUGAUGCUUUUGAAGAGCAGCAGUCAGCAUCUUGCAGAAUGUUCCUCAGUUUGGAUUUAUCUACAGUUUUCUUGUGAUUAGACUGAGGCUGUGGGUUUUGGGGAAGAAGAUGGAGUGCCCUUCUUAUCACAUUGUAUCUUAUCAGAGAGUAAGUGGUUGCAAGAAGAUCUAUCCCUGGUGGCAUGAACCUUGUUGCCUUCAAUAGGGUGGUGACUGCCAGGAUUCCUCACUGGAGAGCUGCUGUUUUUCCCAUCCGUAUCAGUUUCCAGGGCUGCUGUAACAAAUCACCACAAACUAGAUAGCUUAAAACAACAGAAAUUCAUUCCCACAGAGGAUGGAAGCCAGAAGUCUGAAAUCAAGGUGUCUGCAGAGCCAUACUACUUCUGGAGGCUCCAGGGAGGAUCCAUCCUCGCCUCUUCCAGCUUCUGCUGGUUGCCAACAGCCCCUGGGGACCCCUCACUCCAGUCUCUGCCUCUGUCUUCACAUAGCCUUCUCCUUGCAUGACUCGGCAUGUCUGUGUCUCUGAGUCUUAUAAGAACACCAGUCGUCUUGGGUCUACGGCCCACCCUCAUCUUAACCAGUCACAUCUGCAUAACCCCAGUUUCCAAAUAAGGCCACAUUCACAGGUACCAGGGGUUAGGACUUCAUCAUACCGUUAUAGGGCACAUGAUUCCACCCAUAACAACUCCUUCGAUUUACACUUGGCAAUGAUCACUUUCGCUGCUUUAUGCAGAAUGCUCUGUUGGGGGUAAGGGCAAAGCAGGGAGGCCAAUUAAAAGGUCAUCACUGUCACUGAGGCAAGAAAAGGGACACUAGGGGUCUAGACCAGGGUGGGGGCAAAGGCCCUGGAGGGCAGGGUCUGCACUCAGAAUACAUUUUGGAGGCGGAGCCAAUAGGACCUGCUGGUGAGUGGGUGUGUGUGUGGGAUAUUGAGGGAAAGACAAGAAUCAAUGACUCUCCAGUGUUUGGCUGGAGCCACAGUAAGGUGCCACUUAGUGUGACACAGGAGACCCAUGGAGGGACAGGCUGGCAGUGCUACGUCUGAUCAUGUUAGGACAUCCAAGGAGGGAGGUUAAGGUGCUACAUCUCCCAGCCCCAGAGGAGUUGAGGGGUCUCCCAGCAAAGCAAUGACAGCCGCAAGAGAAGAGGCCGGGUGCGGUGGCUCACGCCUGUAAUCCCAGCACUUUGGGAGGCCGAGGCGGGC